rnacentral:lncRNA from 1 species
GGGAACCCUUAGAGAAGGCUCAUUGACCACUCGGUUGGUAACCAGUUCUCUUCAGUACUUCUCGGGAAUCUAAACAAACUCUCAGCCCUCAUUCUGGGGCUGUUUUCCCUGCUCAGAUAUCUGGACUCACUGGACAACAGAUGUUCUUAACCUCACUGAAGUAAAGGUGGUGGAAUUUGCUGGAAAGGUAUGGCCACUAAAACUCACUGACAACAUCAUAUGCAAAACAUUUGUCUCCUGCCUGUUCUCCAUAAGAACAACAUGAAGCUUAACAAGGGACAGAAUGGCUACAGCCCAUCAGAUUCGAGGAAGGAAUUUACUGUAAACAAAACAGGAAUGUGUUUUCACAUCUCCUCAUGCCAAGGGACAUGAUGACGCAUUACUUCAGAGAUGCAUCUGUCAUAUUGAGCUACAUAAAGUG